GCUCGUAGUUGGAUUUUGGGCGCAGGCGGCCGGUCCGUCGCAAGGCGUGUACUGGCCGUCCUGGCCUCACCUCCGGUUCUCCGCCGGUGCCCUUGACUGAGUGUCGGCGGCGGCCGGAACGUUUACUUUGAAAAAAUUAGAGUGUUCAAAGCAGGCGAUUCGCCUGAAUAAUGGUGCAUGGAAUAAUGGAAUAGGACCUCGGUUCUAUUUUGUUGGUUUUCGGAGCGCGAGGUAAUGAUUAAGAGGGACAGACGGGGGCAUUCGUACUGUGCCGUUAGAGGUGAAAUUCUUGGAUCGGCGCAAGACGAACGACUGCGAAAGCAUUUGCCAAGAAUGUUUUCUUUAAUCAAGAGCGAAAGUCAGAGGUUCGAAGACGAUCAGAUACCGUCCUAGUUCUGACUAUAAACGAUGCCAACUAGCGAUCGGGGGGCGUUAGUUUUACGACCUCUCCGGCAGCUUGCGGGAAACCAAAGUCUUUGGGUUCCGGGGGAAGUAUGGUUGCAAAGCUGAAACUUAAAGGAAUUGACGGAAGGGCACCACCAGGAGUGGAGCCUGCGGCUUAAUUUGACUCAACACGGGAAAUCUCACCCGGCCCGGACACAGUGAGGAUUGACAGAUUGAGAGCUCUUUCUUGAUUCUGUGGGUGGUGGUGCAUGGCCGUUCUUAGUUGGUGGAGCGAUUUGUCUGGUUAAUUCCGAUAACGAACGAGACUCUGGCUUGCUAACUAGUUACGCGACCCAAUCGGUCGGCGUCUAACUUCUUAGAGGGACUAGUGGCGUUUAGCCACACGAGAUUGAGCAAUAACAGGUCUGUGAUGCCCUUAGAUGUUCGGGGCCGCACGCGCGCUACACUGACCGGAUCAGCAUGUGCUCGCCUUGGCCGACAGGUCUGGGUAACCCGCUGAACCCCGGUCGUGCUAGGGAUAGGGAAUUGCAAUUAUUUCCCUUGAACCAG
rnacentral:rRNA from 1 species